CAGAACUCUUACCAUUGUCUAUGGAAAAUUGAUUCUUAAUUUAUGAGUUCUUAUUUAAUGAGUUAGCUUGUAAAGGUGGGAACUACCUGUAUAAAAUUCAAUGUUUGACUACUUUGCAAAGGCUCCCACACCAUUUAACUCCUCUAGACCAAACUUAAUAUGGAGAUUUCUUUCAAUCUUGCAAGUAUAGGCUACCCUAGUUCAAAACAUUCCAAGGAUGAAGCAUUUUGAAAUGACAACAAAAUUGCAUUCAUUUAAAUCUUCAGAAUCAUCUUCAAAUUUGGGAUGAUAUCACUCCUGCGAUAGCAUGAUAUCAUUGUGAUCAGCCACUUGAUUCAGAAUGUUAUAAUUAAUGAAUUAUACGAUAAAAUUAUAUUUCUGCUUGAUUUAUCGUAAACUUGUCCAUAAAAUUUAUAAAUUCAUGGGUUCUAGAUCUAUUCCAUCGAAAAGCAUCUUUCACUCUUUUUUGGUAGGCCCUAUCAUGGAUAUUUACCAGCUUCUAAAAAUGGCCACUAAUAAAAGUAUACUGUGUGAUUCAAUGUUUAAUUCAUAUUGACAUAUAAAUUCGUUCCUAUUAUUUAAAAUUGAAUUUUUGUUUCUUAUUAUUAAUAACUAACAAGCCAUCCAAUAGAUGAAA
rnacentral:lncRNA from 1 species